CCUACGGGUGGCAGCAGUGAGGAAUAUUGGUCAAUGGGCGCGAGCCUGAACCAGCCAAGUCGCGUGAGGGAUGACAGCCCUAUGGAUUUUAAACCUCUUUUGUCGGGGAGUAAAGUACGCCACGUGUGGCGUUUUGUGAGUACCUGAUGAAUAAGCAUCGGCUAAUUCCGUGCCAGCAGCCGCGGUCAUACGGAGGAUGCGAGCGUUAUCCGGAUUUAUUGGGUUUAAAGGGUGCGUAGGCGGAUGCGUAAGUCAGCGGUAAAAUUGUGCGGCUCAACCGUAUACUGCCGUUGAAACUGUGGCACGUGAGUGCGCGAAGGGUAUACGGAAUGCGUGGUGUAGCGGUGAAAUGCUUAGAUAUCACGAAGAACUCCGAUUGCGAAGGCAGUGUACCGGCGCACGACUGACGCUCAUGCUCGAAAGUGUGGGUAUCGAACAGGAUUAGAUACCCCAGUAGUC
rnacentral:rRNA from 1 species